rnacentral:lncRNA from 13 species
CUCAAGGUCAUGAAGAUUCUGUUCUAUAUUUUCUUUUAGAAGUAUUAUAAUUUUAGUGCUUAUAUGUAGGUCUAUGAUUUAUUUCAAAUUCAUUUUAAGGUACGAUGUGAGGUAAAGGUCAAGGUUUUUUAAAUUUUAUUUUGGCAUAUAGGUAAUCUAAUUUUUCUGGCACUAUUUAUAUGAAAGACUAUCCUUUUCCCCACUGAGUUACCAUUGAAGAAAAUCAGUUGACUGUGAGCCCAAUUCUGGACUGUAUUCUGUUCCAUUGAUAUCCCUGUUUAUCCUUAGAGUGAGAGAACACUAUCUUAAUUAUAAUUGCAUUAUAAUACAUCUCAAAUUUGAAAAAUUUUAUCCUUUAACAUAUUUCUUUCUUAAUUUUUAUUUAUGUUUUUAGAGAGCGUCUCGUUCCGUCACCCAGGCUGGAGUGUAAUGGUGUGAUCUCAGCUCACUGCAAUGUCUGCCUUCUGGGUUCAAGUGAUUCUCCUGCCUCAGCCUUCCAAGUCACAGGGAUUACAGACAGAUUCUUGCUCUGUCACACAGGCUGAAAAGCAGUGGCGUGAUCUCUGCUCACUGCAACCUCCACCUCCCAAGUUCAACUGAUUCUCCUGUCUCAGCCUCUCAAGCAGUUGGGAUUGCAAGUAUGUGCCACUACUCCUAGCUAAAUUUUGUCUUUUUAGUAAAGAUGGGGUUUUUGGCCAGGCUGGUCUUGAACACCUGACCUUCGGUGAUCCACCUUCCUUGGCCUCCCAAAGUGCUGGGAUUACAGGUGAGGACUUUAAAGAUACUUUCUUUAAAGUGCUUUUUGGUUAGCUCUAAAAUGAUUUUCUCUGUAAUCAGUUCCCCUGUUUGCAGAGUUUGUUUGCUUACAUGAUGUUGGUCUUCCUCAGUGCUCUGUGCUUCCUGGUUGUGGGUUAUCUGGAGAGUCUCUAGAAACCAAGUCCAUCUGUUAGCAGCUUCAGUUUGGUUCAUAUUGGGCUGGGCUCCAGAAAACGGUUUUCUCAGAAGUAUCUACUGUGG